GUGGAAUUAGCGGUUAUGAAUGCAAACACAGGUACUGCUGCAAACCCAAUGGCUACCCCUGGACAACCGACAGACGCUGUUGAGCCAAAAAUAAAAACUGAAUACAUGCAGGUGGAAUUAGCGGUUAUGAAUGCAAACACAGGUACUGCUGCAAACCCAAUGGCUACCCCUGGACAACCGACAGACGCUGUUGAGCCAAAAAUAAAAACUGAAUACAU